rnacentral:lncRNA from 1 species
CCUCAGUGUCAAAAAACUGUAUUUCGCAACUAUUAUUCCCCAGAAUAAUUUUCGCAACUCCUCUGGGGGAAAAAAAAAAAACAUAUCCAUUAGGAUCAUGUCACUCCACAUUGAAAGUGACAGAAGAGCAGAUUUUAACCCAGUGUUAGAAUGAAUUUCCCAUAAUCAGAGUUGUCCAACAGUGGAAUGGACUGCCUUAAUAGUGAGCUCCCUGCCUCUGAGAAUAUUCACUGGAUGACCAUCUGUUAGAAUACCAUAAAAAGAUUUUCUGUGCUGGCUACAUGUUCAAUAUAAAGUCCUUUCUGGCUCUAAGUUCUAUGAAUAUAUAAACUACAUCAGUGCCAUGCUGUGGUUAGAUUUAUCUGAUGAUAACAGCUAAGACUAUGGAGAGGGACUUUAAAAAUUCUCAAACCAUUCUGUGAUCAAUCUUUAACAGCAACUACAUAGCUCUUCCUUUUGCUUUUGCACUGUGGCAGGAAAAAUUCUUGAGCUCUGGUUAAUCUUUAUGUGACUGAUAAAAAACAUCUUAAAGCUCCCAUGUUAAAAUAUAAAAAUGGUUUGACAAUUUUUGAUUACCAUGACUGUCAGUUAUAUACUAUAUUAUGAAUAUGCAGUGUGGUUCUUGUUGGUUGAUCUGUUUAUCCUGCAUAGAUUUUAAUCUGUACUUUAAAACAUCUAUGAUAAAAAUAGUGACAGACAGAAAUUACCCCAAAAAGAGACCUAGGCCAGGAAGGGGGUGGGAGCUUUCAUAGGAAUACAGCCUAGAACUCUCCAUUGUAGCCACGUAUGGAAUCAGCCUUACUUACAUGUAGGACCUUUGUGCUUUAAGAGCUCUGGGACAUAUUGGCCAAAUAGAAAAGAAGAGGACAGUAUUUCAACUCAGUCAUACUCAAUAUUUCCAAUUAAGAUAUAAUCCUGACACCAUUGUUCAAUUAACUUUGACGCCAGAAGUCAAAGCCAGAACUGGGACCCCACAGCUCUAAAGUCCCUAUCCUGCCUAUACCUAUAGCCAGCCACACUGGUUUCCAAGUUCUAUGAUCAUUUUGCUACAAUCAUGUUAGGGUGAAAAUCUGUACGUCAGAACUGUUAAAUGCUAAUUAUUUUUAAGUGCAUGAGACCUGGGGCCUUCUCUUUCUACUCGCACUCUGCUUAUACUAGUUUCUAUUUGUAGAUCUCAGGCCUUCAUCAUAAAGACCUCCAUCAACUCACAAAAGUACUUGUCUCUAUUAGAGUGGCAUGUGGUCGAGUAAAAAAAAAAAAAAUUACAUGGGUAUCGGAUUCAUAGGCAUCCUGUCCAUCUAACACAAGUGUUAAUUUUAUUGGCCCAUCAACUGGAGCCCCUUUCCUCUUAGCCAUACCAUUGUUUUCUACCAAAUUACCACUCAAUAUCUUAAUGAAAGCACUCAGCAUUAAGUGAC